rnacentral:sRNA from 1 species
UACAUACAGCGUAAAUGCGCCACCGGCCU